rnacentral:rRNA from 1 species
AUUGAACGCUGGCGGCAGGCCUAACACAUGCAAGUCGAACGCGUGGCGGACGGGUGAGUAAUGUCUGGGUACCUGCUUGAUGGAGGGGGAUAACUGCUGGAAACGGUAGCUAAUACCGCAUACCAUCAGAUGUGCCCAGAGGGGAUUAGCUCGUAGGUGGGGUAACUGCACACCUCGGCGACGAUCCCUACCUGGUCUGAGAGGAUGACCAGCCACACUGGAACUGAGACACGGUCCAGACUCCUACGGGAGGCAGCAGUGGGGAAUAUUGCACAAUGGGCGCAAGCCUGAUGCAGCCAUGCCGCGUGUAUGAAGAAGGCCUUCGGGUUGUAAAGUACUUUCAGCGGGGAGGCGUUACCCGCAGAAGAAGCACCGGCUAACUCCGUGCCAGCAGCCGCGGUAAUUC